rnacentral:lncRNA from 1 species
GUCAACACAGAAAAUAAAUCAUAACAAAAGAUUAUUAAAACAUAACAAAUGAUGAACUAUGAAAACCUUAUACGAACUCAAAGCGUCUUUCCAAGAAAAUUUAAAGUAUGCUUUUAUUGAAAGUAAACUGGAGAAAUAUUUGGUUCUGUGCUUCUAAUAUUAUAAGUGCACCAAGAGAGUAGACACUUGUGUUUUGUCUCUAACAGCAGAGUCACAUGAUCCUUCAGAAAUCAGUAUAAUAUGAUGUCAUAAUUUUUUUAUAAUAGUGUGUGCUGUAUUUUCGUGUGAAUCAAUAAUCUUUUAUAUUCUUGUGUCUCAGAUAUGUAAACCCAACCGCGCAGAUGUGACAGGAGCAGACCAGAUAGAUAGAGUAGAUCAAAUGGAAAUACAGAAAAAUGAGCGUGAAUUUAAAAAUCGAAUAAAAAAAACUACAGUUAAAGUGUACGAAUUUCAAUAAUUUCCUUCCCCUUUUUUUCUCAGUGCUCUUAUUCCUUUCACUCAACAGAUUCCUCCUGAUGUUGUAAGUCAAGUGGUGCUUAUAUUAUUUAGAUUUUUCUAUGUAAUAUCUAUGAUUUAUCAAAUGCUAAACCUUCUUACCUUUCUUAUCUUUCUUUGCAUCUGUCUCUGCACUGUGUUUUUCUCAGAUCUGACCUUCUUUCUGCUUCAGAUGGAGAUGAAAAGCGUGGGAGUUCAGACUGAUUAUCUGGAGAGUGCGAGACAGACAGACCCCUUCACUCCAGACUGUGCGGUUCGUCCUGGGACCCCACAACCCCAGCCCCCACAGAAGGAGAGAUGAUCGAGAGGGCAAGAAUGAAGAGAGUUUGGGAGGCAACUCUGGCCCCGCUGAAAGACCUCUCUCAGCUGGACAAGAGGAGAAGGAUGAUGGAGGAGAUGGAGAGGAAGGAGAAAGAGAAACAUACGUGCCUCUGUCUCGGUUUGGCCCGAUCUCUGUCCGAAAUUCCAACCACAACAUGGUCAAGAGUCACUUUCUCAGCACGUAUGAAGGUCUGUUUCUGUUUGCAGAAGUUGUUUUCCUUAUGACUAUUAAAGUUGGUUCUAAAACCCAUUCUUUCUAAUACCAGUGACAUCUCUGUGUUUCUCAGGUCUGUUAGAACUGGAGGCAAGUCUUUCUCCAUCUGUCAAGGAGACUUGAAUCAAAGUGUCAAGACCUAGUGACUAAAGGCUUCAUCGCACACUCAGCCCGCUCAAGAAGACUCAUCAGGUAAUGAGCAGCUGGGUGCUUUUCACACUUAAUCAGACGGUGGGAGGAGGUGUAUGAAGUGACAGAUAUCCCCCUGAGCUCUCGCUUCCCAUUAGGCCCUGAAAGAGAAAACGGGAAAAGAAGCCUCUGUGGAUCCUCUUUAAGACGGAAAAAACCUGCUCCACGACCUGCAACCCCCGGGGUGGAAACCCCCAGAGAUACAGUCCGAGAUCAUGCUGUAGUCAAGUCAGGUCAAUGUUUGAGCUUAAACAGAUGAAUUCUUGUUGGUACUUUAGGGAGUACAUUUUAAGCAUAUUUUGAAGACAAUAAAUGUUGUUUUACAUAUAAAGCUGCACUUAAGUGGGUCAAAAACUAACUGUAGUAAAUAUUAGUGCUGUCAAAUGAUUAAUCACAUUCAAAAUAAAAGUAUUUGUUUACAUAAUAUGUGUAUAUUUAUUAUGCUUAUGCAAAUACACACACAUUUAAGUAUACAUUUAAGAAAGAAGUUGAGUUUAUAUUAAUAUAGAUUUUACAUUAUAUGAAUAUAUACAUGUACAUCUUUUCA